CACGAGACCACCAAGAACCACAAAAGUAGUGGCAGCAGUUUGAGAAUCGAGGAAAGUGCAAGACUGAGCAGGCGUGGAGAAAGAAGGAGUACGGAGGAACUUGGAUCAUUCUCAAUGAAAAAGAUGGAGUACCAGGCUGAGGAGGAAAACCACGUAGAUGAUGGAGCAGAGGUGCUGGACGUCGCCCGCUGUGGAGUUCGUGCAGAAAGUGAGUUUCCACUUGUUCACAUUUUGAAUGAAACCUUGAUGGCUGGAGAUCUGAAGGAGGAUAUUGAGGCUUGUGCAGGAACAGUUGACUGCUUGAGAGAGAGGAAGGAACCGCCUCCAGCUCCAGCUCCAGCUCCAGCUUCAGCCCAACAUCCUUUAAUAAACACUCUGCAAAGAGAGACUUUAUCAGACGUUAGUGAUGGCAUUCAGCAUCCACCAACAAAAGAAAGCACAGAAAGUAAUGCAGGAGCAGAAAAACUCACGUGUGACGGGAAGACUGUUUUAAAUAUCCACUCCUUUGCAGAUGCUACCGAUGAUCAAACAGUAAAGAGAAAGGAAGACGAGUCAAACACAGAUUCAAUCUCUGAAUCAGAUUCAUUUUUAAACCCAGUCAUAUCUAUCGAACCCAGCUCUAUUCUGGAAAAGCUACUGAGAAGAAACAGAAAAGAGGAAAUACCAAACACCUCUGAACCAGGAGACACCAAUGAUCAAAUCAAAGUAAACACAGAAGCCUUUGAGGGGAUCAAAGACGUUACACCAUCAUCAAUAGACAGUGACACUGAAGACAUCCAAUCAUCCAAUGAGGAUACGGAUCAGGAACCCAAAGCCACUGCUCCCACUACCGCCUCACAUUCAUUUCACUAUCCUGCUGCUACAUCAUGUGAGGCUGAACUCACAGCACAAGUAAACAUUGGUGCUACAGACGCCUCAAUCCCCUCUACUGGGGGUUUGGAAUCAGCUGUUCUACAUGAGGAGAAGUCAUGUGAAGUGAGUGCUGUGGCCCGGGAGGAAUCCACAACUGAUGCAAAGCCCUUUCACGCAAAGAGUGACGAAAAACUCACAGACUCAGAUCAUAUCCAUACCUCUAAAAUAACUGACGGUGUUGCUGGACAGACAGGAGGAAAUAUACAAGUAUGUAGCCCUGAGAGACCCCCUGAUCAUGCUGGUUUAGCUUCGUCAGAGGAAGUCCACCAAAACCAAGAUCCACAUGUGACGAAAACUAUCAAACCAGAUCACACUGACAGUAGUAGCCCCUGCCACGAGACAAAAGGCAGUGUUGUGAUGAGGGAUCAAACCCAAGGAGCUCCCAAACCAAGGCCUGUGUCAGAACUCAUCAAGGAAACGAUUCAGCUGCAUGAAAAGCUGCAGCAUCCCGACAGGCCCAAGCCAGCAGAAGUGAAGUUAGACG
rnacentral:lncRNA from 1 species